GAUGAACGCUGGCGGCGUGCCUAAUACAUGCAAGUCGAACGAAGCUUCUUUAUCACCGAGUGCUUGCACUCACCGAUAAAGAGUUGAGUGGCGAACGGGUGAGUAACACGUGGGCAACCUGCCCAAAAGAGGGGGAUAACACUUGGAAACAGGUGCUAAUACCGCAUAACCAUAGUUACCGCAUGGUAACUAUGUAAAAGGUGGCUAUACUACCGCUUUUGGAUGGGCCCGCGGCGCAUUAGCUAGGUGGUAGGGUAAAGGCUUACCAAGGCAAUGAUGCGUAGCCCAAUUGAGAGGGUGAUCGGCCACAUUGGGACUGAGACACGGCCCAAACUCCUACGGGAGGCAGCAGUAGGGAAUCUUCCACAAUGGGCGAAAGCCUGAUGGAGCAACGCCGCGUGGGUGAAGAAGGUCUUCGGAUCGUAAAACCCUGUUGUUAGAGAAGAAAGUGCGUGAGAGUAACUGUUCACGUUUCGACGGUAUCUAACCAGAAAGCCACGGCUAACUACGUG
rnacentral:rRNA from 1 species